rnacentral:rRNA from 1 species
AGGAUGAACGCUGGCGGCGUGCUUAACACAUGCAAGUCGAGCGGUAAGGCUCCUUCGGGAGUACACGAGCGGCGAACGGGUGAGUAACACGUGAGUAAUCUGCCCUUCACUUCGGGAUAAGCGCCGGAAACGGCGUCUAAUACCGAAUACGACGCACUCUCGCAUGAGAUACGCGUGGAAAGUUUUAUCGGUGGAGGAUGUGCUCGCGGCCUAUCAGCUUGUUGGUGAGGUAACGGCUCACCAAGGCUUCGACGGGUAGCCGGCCUGAGAGGGUGACCGGCCACACUGGGACUGAGACACGGCCCAGACUCCUACGGGAGGCAGCAGUGGGGAAUAUUGGACAAUGGGCGAAAGCCUGAUCCAGCAACGCCGCGUGAGGGAUGACGGCCUUCGGGUUGUAAACCUCUUUCAGUACCGACGAAGCGCCAAUAACGGUGGUGACGGUAGGUACAGAAGAAGGACCGGCCAACUACGUGCCAGCAGCCGC